rnacentral:rRNA from 1 species
GAUGAACGCUGGCGGCGUGCCUAAUACAUGCAAGUCGAGCGAACAGACGAGGAGCUUGCUCCUCUGACGUUAACGGCGGACGGGUGAGUAACACGUGGAUAACCUACCUAUAAGACUGGGAUAACUUCGGGAAACCGGAGCUAAUACCGGAUAAUAUAUUGAACCGCAUGGUUCAAUAGUGAAAGACGGUUUUGCUGUCACUUAUAGAUGGAUCCGCGCCGCAUUAGCUAGUUGGUAAGGUAACGGCUUACCAAGGCAACGAUGCGUAGCCGACCUGAGAGGGUGAUCGGCCACACUGGAACUGAGACACGGUCCAGACUCCUACGGGAGGCAGCAGUAGGGAAUCUUCCGAAAUGGGCGAAAGCUUGACGGAGCAACGCCGCGUGAGGGAUGAAGGUCUUCGGAUCGGAAAACUCUGUUAUUAGGGAAGAACAAAUGUGUAAGUAACUAUGCACGUCUUGACGGUACCUAAUCAGAAAGCCACGGCUAACUACGUG